ACGAACGCUGGCGGCGUGCUUAACACAUGCAAGUCGAACGGAAAGGCCUCAGCUUGCUGGGGUACUCGAGUGGCGAACGGGUGAGUAACACGUGGGUGAUCUGCCUUGCACUCUGGGAUAAGCUUGGGAAACUGGGUCUAAUACCGGAUAUGAACUGCCUUUAGUGUGGUGGUUGGAAAGUUUUUUCGGUGCAAGAUGAGCUCGCGGCCUAUCAGCUUGUUGGUGGGGUAAUGGCCUACCAAGGCGUCGACGGGUAGCCGGCCUGAGAGGGUGUACGGCCACAUUGGGACUGAGAUACGGCCCAGACUCCUACGGGAGGCAGCAGUGGGGAAUAUUGCACAGUGGGCGGAAGCCUGAUGCAGCGACGCCGCGUGGGGGAUGACGGCCUUCGGGUUGUAAACUCCUUUCGACAGGGACGAAGCUUUUUGUGACGGUACCUGUAUAAGAAGCACCGGCUAACUACGUG
rnacentral:rRNA from 1 species